CUAACCCUCCCUCUCUCUCUCCCCCUCCCUCUCUCUCUCCCUCUCUCCCCCCCCCUCUCUCUCUCCCCCCCCCCCCCUCUCUCCCCCCCCCCCCCCCUCCCCCACUUGUGCUCUCUCUCUCUCUCUCUUUCAAAUGAAAUUAAAAAAAAAUUUCAAAUGGCUCUAUUAUCAACCACCCCAUUCUGGUCAAUAUAAAAAGAAGACUGAUGGAACAAGUCACUAGUAUUCCGUGGAGUUUGGCGUUUUGGAGGGAACUAUUUCCUUUCUUCUCACCAACAUGAGAGAGAGGCAGGGUGGUGUUGUCUCUAAGGCCAGGGUGAGAGUCGGGUGCGAGAGAAGCUCUUGUAAAGAUGUCUGCUAUAAAGGGAAUGUUCUGGAUAAAUUCCUCUUGUGCCUCUAGACCCACUUUGUAGUGGUUUUCUUUGUUCGAUUUGUUUUUUGUUUUUGUUUUUGAGAGAGGGGGCGCGCACAAAAAAAAAAGGAAAGGGGCAGAGAGGGAGAGAGAGAAUCCCAAGCAGGCUCCAUGCUGUCUCCUCUGUGAUUGUGUCACACCCUACCCUUCCUUCGCCAGCUGUCCCCUUGUUAAUAAGCUGUCCUCCACUUACCCGAAUUUAAAUGUGUCCUCUGUCUUCUGUUGGGUGCUUGGCUGAUGCGAGGGAGACCAGCAGAAUGAGGAUCUCCUGGUGCCAUCGCUGGCGUGGAGGAGAGCGAAAUAAAAGUUCGCGCCAAACGGUGGCACGUCUAGCUGAAAACGGCGUCGGGAUAUCGCACUGAGGAAAGCUGGCUGCUGUCCUAGGAGUUCUUUCCACAGCACCGGCCGGCAGCUGAGCACUGCUCCAAGAGCCAAGCGCUGGCCUGCAGACCAUCCUACCCGCACGAGCAACAGGUGGUGGGAGGCACAGGAGCCUCUGGCGAGCGGCUUCACCGGAAUUUCCUCAUUCCGUCCCAGCCCCGUCGGAGGAUGGAGGAGAACACAGUCCAAAGGCAGGGAGGGUGAUACCGCAGGCGAGUUUUGAGUGAUUAUACGUGGCGUGUAAAUUGUGCUCGGGUCGGGGGCGGGGGGGCAACUGGGACGUGACCCGUAGGGAUCUGGAAGCCGAGUUGGCGGAGGGAACACGUUGCCAGAGA
rnacentral:lncRNA from 1 species